rnacentral:tRNA from 21 species
GGGUCGUUAGCUCAGUUGGUAGAGCGCUUCGUUUACACCGAAGAUGUCGGGAGUUCGAGUCUCUCACGACCCACCA